rnacentral:rRNA from 1 species
AAGGACUGCCGUGGAUAAACCGAGGAAGGUAGCGGGAUGACGUCAAGUCAGCAUGGCCCUUACGUCCAGGGCACACACGUACUACAAUGCGAGGGACAGAGAGCAGCCAACCCGCGAGGGAGAGCGAACCUCUUAAACCCUGGCACAGUUCAGAUUGCAGGCUGCAACUCGCCUGCAUGAAGGAGGAAUCGCUAGUAAUCGCAGGCCAGCAUACUGCGGUGAAUCCGUUCCCGGGCCUU